rnacentral:lncRNA from 1 species
AGUUCAAAUGACGUUGAUGUCCCGGUAAGCAAUUAUUCAAUCUAUCGUUAUUUCUUAUCUUGAUAGACAAAAGUCAGUGUUUUACAUGUAUAUUUGUAAUUGUGCGCUAUAAAGUCAAUACAAGGCAAAAUUGUACAAAAAGUAUCUACUGUUAGACAUUAAACAUUUUAGUUAUAUAUCUAGAAGCCACAGUUUAGACCUAGCAAGCAUUAAAGUUACUAACAGAAAAGUAAGACUUUUGUUUUAAUUCUUGACGUAAACUGCUGUUACUUACCUCCUAUGUACAGUCAGAAAAAGAUGAAAGUAAUCUUCUUUGAUAUAUGACAAGUCGCUCUUUUCAAGUUAAUUUCUGUAUUAUACUACAUGUAUAAUACAUAAUCAGGAAUAAUUCAAUGAUUGACUACUUGAGUGGCCGUUAUGACAGAGAGCUGACACUAUAAGGUUGCCCUAUUUAAUUCAUGC